GCAUCUCGGCAGCCAACGGGCCAACCACAAAAACGGUUUUAUUUGGAGGAGAUCGCCGUGGCUUCGGGUUGGGUUUAGAGGUUGCCGUUGACAGAUUUACCACCGUCGACGCAGAUGACUUGGCCAUUGAUGUAGCAAGCAGCAGGGAGGCACAAGAAAGCCACCACAGCUGACACCUCCUCCGACUCGGCCACGCGCCCGAGAGGGAUGCGGUACGUCUCCUUCGCCACGAACUCCUCGAUCGCAAGCAACUGUGUUGGGGACGCAAACAUUUAAGUUUGGAAUCCAGGCAUUUCAUCAACUAGGUGGUGGCGGAGGAGGUCAUUACCGGUUCCAUGAGAGGGGUUCUAACGGAGCCGGGCGCGACGCAGUUG
rnacentral:lncRNA from 1 species